CGGGUGAGUAACGCGUGGGUAACCUGCCUUGUACUGGGGGACAACAGUUAGAAAUGACUGCUAAUACCGCAUAAGCGCACAGUAUCGCAUGAUACAGUGUGAAAAACUCCGGUGGUACAAGAUGGACCCGCGUCUGAUUAGGUAGUUGGUGAGGUAACGGCCCACCAAGCCGACGAUCAGUAGCCGACCUGAGAGGGUGACCGGCCACAUUGGGACUGAGACACGGCCCAG
rnacentral:rRNA from 1 species